rnacentral:sRNA from 10 species
CGAUGGUGGCGAUUUUGGGGACAGAUGCCCGUGUCGCGGGUUCCCUGGGCCGGCGGCGUGGUCGGUGACUCGACCUCCCUGUCUCCUGGGG